UGUGUGUGUUUGUGUAGCAGUGUGUUAUUGACUUUGCGUGUAGCUGUGUGUGUACUAUGUCUGUGUUUGUGUAGCAUUGUGUAUCAUUGACUGUGUGUGUACUGUUUCUGUGUGUGUAUAGUAGUGUGUGUUAUUGACUGUGCGCUUAGCUGUGUGUGUACUGUUUGUGUUUUUAUAGCAGUGUGUGUUAUUGACUUUGCGUGUAGCUGUUUGUGUACUGUUUCUGGGUGUGUGUGUGUG